rnacentral:rRNA from 1 species
GAUGAACGCUGGCGGCGUGCUUAACACAUGCAAGUCGAACGGUGAAGCAUGAGCUUGCUCUUGUGGAUCAGUGGCGAACGGGUGAGUAACACGUGAGCAACCUGCCCCUGACUCUGGGAUAAGCGCUGGAAACGGCGUCUAAUACUGGAUAUGUGAUGUGACCGCAUGGUCUGCAUCUGGAAAGAAUUUCGGUUGGGGAUGGGCUCGCGGAGUAUCAGCUUGUUGGUGAGGUAAUGGCUCACCAAGGCGUCGACGGGUAGCCCGCCUGUGAGGGUGAACGGACACACUGGGAAGGAGGCACGGCCCAGGCGCCUGCGGGAGGCAGCAGUGGGGGAUAUUGCACAAUGGGCGGAAGCCUGAUGCAGCAACGCCUCGUGAGGGAUGACGGCCUUCGGGUGGUAAACCUCUUUUAGCAGGGAAGAAGCGAAAGUGACGGUACCUGCAGAAAAAGCACCGGCUAACUACGUGCCAGCCGCCGCCGUAA